UUUUGCACUCAAUUCGAUAUCGAUUGGUCCAUGAAAUCGAACAAUUCACGUUCGUACAAAGUUCGUUCUGAAAUAGAGUGUUUCGUUAUUGUAUAGUUCUAGAGAUUGGAUUUUACUCGAAACCCACCAAAUGACUCCUCCUGCAAUAUUAUGUUGUUCCCCAAGUGUUGGACCCAAUCCGAUAUCAAUUGGUCCAUGAAAUCGGCCAAUUCAGGUUCGUGCGAACUGUGUUAUGAAAUAGAGUGGUUGGUGUAUUGAACAGUUUUG
rnacentral:lncRNA from 1 species